GGAAUCUUAGACAAUGGGGGAAACCCUGAUCUAGCCAUGCCGCGUGAUCGAUGAAGGCCUUAGGGUUGUAAAGAUCUUUCAGUUGGGAAGAUAAUGACGGUACCAACAGAAGAAGCCCCGGCUAACUCCGUGCCAGCAGCCGCGGUAAUACGGAGGGGGCUAGCGUUAUUCGGAAUUACUGGGCGUAAAGCGCACGUAGGCGGACUGGAAAGUUAGAGGUGAAAUCCCAGGGCUCAACCUUGGAACUGCCUUUAAAACUAUCAGUCUAGAGAUCGAGAGAGGUGAGUGGAAUUCCGAGUGUAGAGGUGAAAUUCGUAGAUAUUCGGAGGAACACCAAUGGCGAAGGCAGCCUCCUGGAUCAACACUGACGCUGAGGCGCGAAAGCGUGGGGAGCAAAC
rnacentral:rRNA from 1 species